rnacentral:rRNA from 1 species
AGUGAACGCUGGCGGCAUGCCUUACACAUGCAAGUCGAACGGCAGCACAGUAAUAGCUUUCUCUUACGGUUGGCGAGUGGCGGAUGGGUGAGGAAUACAUCGCAAUCUACUUUUUCUUGGGGGAUAACGUAGGGAAACUUACGCUAAUACAGCAUACGACCUACGGGUGAAACCAGGGGAUCUUCGGACUUUGCGCGAUUGAAUGAGCCGAUGUCGGAUUAGCUAGUUGGCGGGGUAAAGGCCCACCAAGGCGACGAUCCGUAGCUGGUCUGAGAGGAUGAUCAGCCACACUGGAACUGAGACACGGUCCAGACUCCUACGGGAGGCAGCAGUGGGGAAUAUUGGACAAUGGGCGCAAGCCUGAUCCAGCCAUACCGCGUGAGUGAAGAAGGCCUUCGGGUUGUAAAGCCCUUUUGUUGGGGAAGAAAAGCAGCAGGUUAAUACCCCGCUGUUAUGACGGUACCCAAAGAAUAAGCACCGGCUAACUACGUG